GUUUGAUCAUGGCUCAGAUUGAACGCUGGCGGCGUGCUUAACACAUGCAAGUCGUGCGGUAACAGGCGUAGCAAUACGUGCUGACGAGCGGCGAACGGGUGCGUAAUACAUGGGAAUCUGCCCUUUGGUGGGGAAUAACCCGGCGAAAGCCGGGCUAAUGCCGCAUAAGAUCUUCGGAUGAAAGCGGGGGAUCGUAAGACCUCGCGCCGAUGGAUGAGCCCAUGUCGGAUUAGCUAGUUGGUGAGGUAACGGCUCACCAAGGCGACGAUCCGUAGCUGGUCUAAGAGGACGGCCAGCCACACUGGGACUGAGACACGGCCCAGACUCCUACGGGAGGCAGCAGUGGGGAAUACUGGACAAUGGGCGAAAGCCUGAUCCAGCGACGCCGCGUGUGUGAAGAAGGCCUGCGGGUUGUAAAGCACUUUCGAUGGGAACGAAAUGUGCCGGGCUAAUAUCCCGGCAAGCUGACGUUACUCAAUGAAGAAGCACCGGCUAACUCUGUGCCAGCAGCCGCGGUAAUACAGAGGGUGCGAGCGUUAAUCGGAAUUACUGGGCGUUAAGCGCACGUAGGUGGCGACGUAAGUC
rnacentral:rRNA from 1 species